rfam:Gossypium hirsutum cultivar TM-1 chromosome 7, whole genome shotgun sequence
GGAAUUGUUGUUCAAUUUGUCAGAGAACCGCCCUGUCAAGGCGGAAGUUGCGGGUUCAAGUCUAGUCAGUCCCG